rnacentral:rRNA from 1 species
GACGAACGCUGGCGGCGUGCCUAAUACAUGCAAGUAGAACGCUGAAGGAGGAGCUUGCUCUUCUGGAUGAGUUGCGAACGGGUGAGUAACGCGUAGGUAACCUGCCUGGUAGCGGGGGAUAACUAUUGGAAACGAUAGCUAAUACCGCAUAAGAGUAGAUGUUGCAUGACAUUUACUUAAAAGGUGCAAUUGCCUCACUACCAGAUGGACCUGCGUUGUAUUAGCUAGUUGGUGGGGUAACGGCUUACCAAGGCGACGAUACAUAGCCGACCUGAGAGGGUGAUCGGCCACACUGGGACUGAGACACGGCCCAGACUCCUACGGGAGGCAGCAGUAGGGAAUCUUCGGCAAUAGACGGAAGUCUGACCGAGCAACGCCGCGUGAGUGAAGAAGGUUUUCGGAUCGUAAAGCUCUGUUGUAAGAGAAGAACGAGUGUGAGAGUGGAAAGUUCACACUGUGACGGUAUCUUACCAGAAAGGGACGGCUAACUACGUG